rnacentral:tRNA from 1 species
GCCCCAGUAGCUCAUCAGGAUAGAGCGUCGGCCUCCUAAGCUGAAGGUAGCAGGUUCGAGUCCUGCCUGGGGCA